GACGAACGCUGGCGGCGUGCUUAACACAUGCAAGUCGAACGGAAAGGCCUGCUUUCCCUUGUGGAUUGCGGGUACUCGAGUGGCGAACGGGUGAGUAACACGUGAGUGAUCUGCCCCCAACUUGGGUAUAAGCCUGGGAAACUGGGUCUAAUUCCCGAUAGGACUGCAGGGUGGUGCCUGUGGUGGAAAACGAUUUUCUAGUGGUUGGGGAUGAGCUCGCGGCCUAUCAGCUUGUUGGUGGGGUAAUGGCCUACCAAGGCGGCGACGGGUAGCCGGCCUGAGAGGGUGGACGGCCACAUUGGGACUGAGAUACGGCCCAGACUCCUACGGGAGGCAGCAGUGGGGAAUAUUGCACAAUGGGCGGAAGCCUGAUGCAGCGACGCCGCGUGAGGGAUGACGGCCUUCGGGUUGUAAACUCCUUUCGACCGCGAGGAAGCCACCUGGUUGGAAGGGUGGUGACGGUAGUGGUAGAAGAAGCACCGGCUAACUACGUG
rnacentral:rRNA from 1 species